CGGUGUUCGGACAGUCCACCAGGCUUUGACCACUCUUAACGGUCAGUUUUAGGUUUCCUUCCUUGGGGGGGGGGGGUGGUUCUAGCCGGCAUCUGGAAUCCUUAGUUAUCCCCCUUUCCUUUAAUUUUUUAUUCAGAUAUAUUUUUAAAUUAAAAUUUUGACAGGUUUUGGCUUAAUGCAGACUAUAUGUGCAUUACUGGAAUGAAUAUCAUUAUGUUAGUACUAAGACAAUUUUUGUGUGAUUUUAUAAUGUACGGUGCAUUUUCCCAGUGGUGUAAUUCAAGUGGAGAGAACCCUAGUGACUGCACAGGAUGUGGAAGAGACUGCUCAAUUUUGCUUCUACUUCCAUAUUAG
rnacentral:lncRNA from 1 species